rnacentral:lncRNA from 1 species
CUCUGCCUCGGGGAGGGGUGAAUCGAGCACUCUGGAUCAGCCUCGCCUGGCCCUGAGGCGCUGAGGUCUGAGGUGUGAGGGCCCCUAGAUGGUGGCCCGUCCCUGACAGACCCCAAAGCGCCUCGGGACAUAUGGACAAUCCUACUGACCUUGGGAGAUUGAGGACCAGACCAUUUUCAACAAUGUUUAACUCAGAUGAUUGCCCUUUUUCACUGAAUAGUUUGUUUUUUGUAAGACCAGAUCAAACUGAAGAGUAUACUGGUGAUAAAAAACCAUCAUGUGGGUUUCUCCCACCUGCUCCAUUGAUUUCUGAAAUUCCAGAUACUCAGGUGUUACAAGAAGAAUUAGAAAGAUUCACACCAUUAGGUAAAAUUUGCUUAUUUCUUGAAGGUGAAAGAAAACUUUUAAUGAACCUAUAAAUCCCCUAUCCAAAGAAAAAACUAUC